GUUUAACUCACUUCAAUAGCCCAUUUUGGUCAAUGCCACGAGUUUCAUGCAUGCAGGUAAUCUAUUUCGAUUUAUCAUUGUUGAUGGUGGGUUGACCAUUGUGGACGGGAGGAUUCAGAGGGUAGAUUUACAUUACGCUGGCAAGGUCAAUCGAGCUCGAGGAUAGUUACUCCAAGGUUGUGUUUCAAUACGCGGCUCGUUGCUCACUUUUAAGAAUAGAUUAUCCAUUAUCACCCAUCAAUCAUCGAAUGAUUGGAGAAGAUAAUGUUACUGAAAUUGUUGGAUAGUGGUCGAUAGCCCUAGGGGCGGAGCUAGACAUUUUCCUGCAUGAAACUCAGGCAGCUUUCUGUUGAAUCAAGUUGAGAAAUACUUGCUCUAUGCUUGAAACCGAAAAGGUUCAAGUUGAAAAGUUGGUGAAUCCUUCGCUGCAAACUACCGAGUCCUUUCAGAGGUGCUGCUGACCUUUCAUCAAGGAUUCUGGAGUUGGUUUUCAAUUUACGGUAUGUAUUCAGCUUAGCGACGUCGACAACUUAAAGGCUGGCUGGCUUAAGCACAACAAAUUGUUUCUGCAACAAUCAAUGAAAGGAACGACAAUCAGUUCUGGAGGUU